rnacentral:tRNA from 1 species
GAGGUUAUAGCUCAUGGUAGAGCGCACACCUAGCAUGCAUGAAGUCCUGGGUUCAAUCCCCAGUACCUCU